CGGAACACGUACGCAAUCUACCCAAAACUGGUGAAUAGCCCUCCGAAAGGAGGAUUAAUACACCGUAACCUAGGGAGGUGGCAUCACUUCAUUAGUAUAGCUCCGGCGGUUUUGGAUGAGCGUGCGGCUGAUUAGAUAGUUGGUGUGGGUAACGGCCCACCAAGUCUGCGAUCAGUAACUGGUGUGAGAGCACGACCAGUCACACGGGCACUGAGACACGGGCCCG
rnacentral:rRNA from 1 species